AAACGAUUUUGUGGUUUUGGCUAAAACGUGAUUUUGGCAAACAAACAUGAUUUUGUGUUUUUGACGAGAAAACCUAAUUUUUCAGUUUUGAUUAGAAAACAUAAUUUUCCAGUUUUGAUUAGAAAACAUAUUUUUUCAGUUUGACAGAAAACGUUGUUUUGCGGUUUAACGUAAAAACUUGAAUUGUGGUUUUGAUGGAAAAACCAAUUUGUGAGUGGACUAAGUAAAUCAUAAGUAUAAAAAGACAAAUGAAACGUUACGAUCUCUAACGAUCAAUGACUGGACGCUGUUCUACUUGUUUUCACAUUAUGAACUUACAAAGUGUCUUAUAAUCAAUCCGGUAAUAUACAAUCAAAGUGUCUUGUUUAGUGGGAAAAUUUGAUUUAGCGGAUUGACGAGAAAACCUAAUUUUGCAUCUUUGGUGAUUUUGGUGAGAAAAACAUUUGUGAUUAGUGAGAGAUUUUGUAAUUUAAUUAAAUAUUUCUCAGAUUUUAAUAUUGUAGGUUGAGUUGGUCACUAACUCACUAUAGUUAAGAGGAAAUCAAACUUGUGUUAAUUGUGGAAAAUGUUCUAAGAUGUAAUUAGUAAGUGUAAAAGUGAUCUAGUGUGUAAAUCUU
rnacentral:lncRNA from 1 species